GCAGUAGCCGCGGGAAUACGUAGGUGGCAAGCGUUGUCCGGAAUUAUUGGGCGUAAAGGGCUCGCAGGCGGUUUCUUAAGUCUGAUGUGAAGGCCCCCGGCCCAACCGGGGAGGGUCAUUGGAAACUGGGAAACUUGAGUGCAGAAGAGGAGAGUGGAAUUCCACGUGUAGCGGUGAAAUGCGUAGAGAUGUGGAGGAACACCAGUGGCGAAGGCGACUCUCUGGUCUGUAACUGACGCUGAGGAGCGAAAGCGUGGGGAGCGAACAGGAUUAGAUACCCCAGUAGUCCCUGUCUCUUAUAC
rnacentral:rRNA from 1 species